rnacentral:rRNA from 1 species
CCUACGGGUGGCAGCAGUGAGGAAUAUUGGUCAAUGGACGAGAGUCUGAACCAGCCAAGUAGCGUGAAGGAUGACUGCCCUAUGGGUUGUAAACUUCUUUUAUAUGGUAGUAAAAUGUUCCACGUGUGGGAUUUUGUAUGUACCAUAUUCAUAAGGAUCGGCUAACUCCGUGCCAGCAGCCGCGGUAAUACGGAGGAUACGGGCGUUAUCCGGAUUUGUUGGGGUUAAAGGGAGCGUAGGUGGAGUGAUAAGUAAGUUGUGAAAGUUUGGGGCUCAACCGUAAAAUUGCAGUUGAAACUGGCAGUCUGGAGUACAGUAGAGGUGAGCGGAAUUCGUGGUGUAGCGGUGAAAUGCGUAGAUAUCACGAAGAACUCCGAUUGCGAAGGCAGCUCACUGGACUGCAACUGACACUGAGGCUCGAAAGUGUGGGUAUCAAACAGGAUUAGAUACCCCUGUAGUC